rnacentral:rRNA from 2 species
GGAGUCUAGCAUGUGCGCAAGUCAUUGGGACAUAAUUAAACCUAAAGGCGAAAUAAAAGUAAAGGUCUGCCUUGGCGCGGACCGAGGGAGGAUAGGUGAUGAUAAGUUCAUUGCUUCGCACUCCCGGGGCGUCUCAUUCUUAUUACAAGAAGAGGCGCACCUAGAGCGUACACGCUGGGACCCGAAAGAUGGUGAACUAUGCCUGGUCAGGACGAAGUCAGGGGAAACCCUGAUGGAGGUCCGUAGCGAUUCUGACGUGCAAAUCGAUCGUCGGAACUGGGUAUAGGGGCGAAAGACUAAUCGAACCAUCUAGUAGCUGGUUCCCUCCGAAGUUUCCCUCAGGAUAGCUGGCGCUCGUAUUUUACGAGUUUCAUCCGGUAAAGCGAAUGAUUAGAGGCAUUGGGGUCGAAACGGCCUCAACCUAUUCUCAAACUUUAAAUGGGUGAGAUCUCCGGCUUGCUCGAACAAAUGAAGCCGCGAGACUCGAAUCAGAGUGCCAAGUGGGCCAUUUUUGGUAAGCAGAACUGGCGCUGUGGGAUGAACCAAACGCCGAGUUAAAGAGCCUAAAUUGACGCUUAUGGGAUACCAUGAAAGGCGUUGGUAACUUAAGACAUCAGGACGGUGGCCAUGGAAGUC